AAUAAAACAUUUUGUCAUUUUAAUAACUGUGGAAAGUCAGACAGCACUGGAACUCUGUCUAAUGAUUGCAUUACCCAUAAGAAAACUUUGAGCUUAAGAGUAUUAUUAAAGGGAGUCUAUUAAAACUCUGUUUCCAAAAUGUGAAAAGGACCGUAAACCCACACAGACCCUAGUGGCUUCAGUGCGAUUUGAUAUAGGUGAUAUAGGUACAAGAUACCACUGAGUUAGAAGGCUCCAGGGAUACCUCACUGUGGCCUUCCAAUACUUGAAGGGAGCAUAUAAACAGGAGAGAGAAUGGCUGUUUACGGGGGUGGAUAGUGAUAGGACAGGGGGGAAUGGUUUUAAACUGAGACAGGGGAGGAUUAGGUUGGAUAUUAGGAAGAAGUUUUUCACACAGAGGGUGGUGACACACUGGAACAGGUUGCCCAAGGAGGUUGUGGAUGCCCCAUCCCUUGGAGGCAUUCAAGGCCAGACUGGAUGUGGCUCUGGGCAGCCUGGUCUGGUGGUUGGUGACCCUGCACAUAGCAGGGGGGUUGAAAGUCGAUGAUCAUUGUCCUUUUCAACCCAGGCCAUUCUAUGACUCUAUAAUUCUAUGAUUAGAAACUCUGAAGUUGGUUUCAGAAAUCAUAGCUUUCACAGGAUUUACAUUUCACCUCUACAGGCUAACCACCCACUCUGAAUAAGGGCUAGUUCCAUUAUUAAAACUUUUAACCUAUGCUUAAAUCAAUUU
rnacentral:lncRNA from 1 species